rnacentral:rRNA from 1 species
AGGCGGUUUCUUAAGUCUGAUGUGAAAGCCCCCGGCUCAACCGGGGAGGGUCAUUGGAAACUGGGAGACUUGAGUGCAGAAGAGGAGAGUGGAAUUCCAUGUGUAGCGGUGAAAUGCGUAGAUAUAUGGAGGAACACCAGUGGCGAAGGCGGCUCUCUGGUCUGUAACUGACGCUGAGGCUCGAAAGCGUGGGGAGCAAACAGGAUUAGAUA